rnacentral:lncRNA from 1 species
UUUUUAGUGUACUUUGACCAGUGCAGUGUAGGAGAGAGUACUUUAUUUUUCCAUGAUUUACUUAAAUGGGUAAUAAUUUCAGUUGAUGUACUUGGAUCUUCCUGUUAUAUCUUCUCAAAUUAAUAUCAUCAAAGCAGCAGAAACUUUGAAAUUCUUUUCUUGAUUUCUAUCUUAGGGAUUAACAUUUGGUAUUAUCAUAAUAGAAAACUGGUCUACUGGUCUCACUAGCGCUACUAUCCUGUCACUGACAACGGGAACACAUGUGCAGGAUGUAGAAUGUGGUUAAUAGAGAAGAGACCAGGAAGAGAAGACAAAUGAUAAAAGCAAGGACCUUUGGUAGACACCUGGACGUAGACAGUGGACAAAGGAAAAAAAGAUCAUCCCACAUCACCAUGUGAGCUGCUGGAAUUGGGAGUGGGGGGAGGAUUACCAUGAAAACAAACUCAAAAGCUAAAGCUACAGCAAUUUAGUCCAGUGCCAGCUGAUUAUGUAAAAGUGCGGCUAUUUCAGUACCUCCUUAAAACAGUUUUAGUUGCAGCACAGUUGAUCAAUUGUGUUUUGCCUUUUCCAUCCAGCCUCUAUUUUAAGGUAAGAUCUUCCUCCCCCUUGUCACAGUUGACAAAUCAGGGCAGGAUGUCAUCAGCAAACAGACCUCUUUCUUCUUCUUUCUUCUUUCAGCUCGACAGACUAGGGGAAUUUACUGUAUGUGGUAAAAAAAAAAAAAAAAAAAGAGGAACAAAAAAAAAGGAGGAACAGAAAUCUAAUAUUCUGAGUUAGCUAGAAAGCAGAAGGAAGAUAUAAGGUGUCUUUCCAGAUGUUCUCUGACUAGAUGGACUCUGUUAAUAUUUAUCUUGGCUUUCUUUGUGUAUAUUUUAAAUAAAUAAAUAGUCUGUAACA